rnacentral:sRNA from 1 species
AAAGCUCUUGUCCUUCUCAAUGCAGAAUAACUGGGUCUUAUCAGUGGCAAACUCAAAGAUGUUUUGCCGACACAUGCCACAAGGUGAAUUGGUUGGAGUUUUAGUGUCAAAGUACACAAAGACAUAAUCAAUUGUGGCCUUGCCGAUACUAGUGACCAUGUUAGCAAUCGCACUACGUUCCGCACACAGGGUUACUGGGUAAGAAGCGUUUUCAAUAUUGACUCCAUAAAAUGCCUGGUUAUUGGCCACCAACAUACAAGCUACCUUAAACUUUGAAAAAGGCGUGUAGGCAUGAUUGACCACCUCCUGUAACUUGUGGUGGACUCAAUCUAAAUCAACUUUCAUUGAGGUUUAUUUACUGCUUAAUAAUAAUGGUGUGCUGCGCAGCUUCUAUGUGGGCAGGCGUAAUUGGUUUGGAGCUGUAAAGUUCUAAGAC